ensembl:rRNA 5S_rRNA 5S ribosomal RNA
AUCUAUGGCCGUAUCACCCUGCACGUGCUUGAUCUCAGAAGUUAAACAGGGUUGGGCCUGGGAAGUGCUUGGAUGGGAGAAAUAGGAUCAGGGUAGCCCAAUC